CAGUAGCCGCGGUAAUACGGAGGGUGCAAGCGUUAAUCGGAAUUACUGGGCGUAAAGCGCACGCAGGCGGUCUGACAAGUCAGAUGUGAAAUCCCCGGGCUUAACCUGGGAACUGCAUUUGAAACUGUCAGGCUGGAGUCUUGUAGAGGGGGGUGGAAUUCCAGGUGUAGCGGUGAAAUGCGUAGAGAUCUGGAGGAAUACCGGUGGCGAAGGCGGCCCCCUGGACAAAGACUGACGCUCAGGUGCGAAAGCGUGGGGAGCAAACAGGAUUAGAGACCCCAGUAGUCCCUGUCUCUUAUAA
rnacentral:rRNA from 1 species